AGAGACUUUUUGAAAAAGCGAAAAAACUGUUUUUUCUCAACGCCGUGCGUCCAACAAGAGCUGGAGAACUGCACGAGUUAAAUGUGCAUGAGGAGGGAGGCGUGUCUUCUAAGAUGGCUAACGCUAGCGGCGGCGCUGAAGUUCUCCGAAAGAAACAUCAACCGGAGACGUACCGUAUUUUCAUAUAUUAACGGAAGAAUUAACAGCAGGAAGAUGUAUAAAUCCUCGCAGCCUCUUGACCCCAACAAACUAAGCCCAGAAACAACAGGGACAGGAGAGGGGUUCUUCUGUGUAAAGGAACAACUGUGUACAGUUGGCCCAGGCGUCAUUGCUUCCCUGUGCAGUUUCAGAAACCGUCCCUGUUUAGAAUUCGUUGUGACUCUUAAAUCUUUAUUAUUGUUUUGAGUCCCUCAUCGUUCACUCCCAGAUGCAGACCCCACGCAGCAGAAAAAAGCAAUGAUUUUUUUAAAGCUCAGUUCAUCAUCGUCAUCAGUGUGUGUGGGCAUGCUUUCCUUUGGUGCCAGUCUCUUGCUUGAUCACACUUUUUCCAUGUUGUUCUGCCCAGUGCCAGUUGGCUAUGGCUGUGUAAAUCCUUCAGAUACCAGUCUUCUGUGCUGCGGACCCACUCUCUCCCUGUCUGUCCCUUUUGUUUUUCCCUCCUGAUCCUGGUCCGUAUU